rnacentral:rRNA from 1 species
CCUACGGGAUGCAGCAGUGAGGAAUAUUGGUCAAUGGGCGGAAGCCUGAACCAGCCAAGUAGCGUGCGGGAUGAAGGCACUACGGGUCGUAAACCGCUUUUGCACGGGGAUAACACCCUCCACUUGUGGAGGUCUGCAGGUACCGUGCGAAUAAGGGCCGGCUAAUUCAGUGCCAGCAGCCGAUGUAAUACGGAAGGACCGAGCGUUAUCCGGAUUCAUUGGGCGUCAAGGGAGCGUCGGCGGGAGUUCAAGGCAUCUGUAAACUCGGGCGGCUCAACCGCUCCCCGCAUUUGAAACUGGACGCCUUGAGUGCACAACAGGCAGUCGGAAUUCGUGGGGUAGCGGUGAAAUGCAUAGCUAUCACGAUGAACCCCGAUUGCUAAGGCAGCCUGCCGGGUUGCGACUGACGCUGAGGCUCGAAGGUGCGGGUAUCAAACAGGAUUAGAUACCCGAGUAGUC